rnacentral:rRNA from 1 species
GAUGAACGCUGGCGGCGUGCCUAAUACAUGCAAGUCGAGCGAACAGACGAGGAGCUUGCUCCUCUGACGUUAGCGGCGGACGGGUGAGUAACACGUGGAUAACCUACCUAUAAGACUGGGAUAACUUCGGGAAACCGGUGCUAAUACCGGAUAACAUGUUGAACCGCAUGGUUCAACAGUGAAAGACGGUCUUGCUGUCACUUAUAGAUGGAUCCGCGCCGCAUUAGCUAGUUGGUAAGGUAACGGCUUACCAAGGCAACGAUGCGUAGCCGACCUGAGAGGGUGAUCGGCCACACUGGAACUGAGACACGGUCCAGACUCCUACGGGAGGCAGCAGUAGGGAAUCUUCCGCAAUGGGCGAAAGCCUGACGGAGCAACGCCGCGUGAGUGAAGAAGGUCUUCGGAUCGUAAAACUCUGUUAUUAGGGAAGAACAAAUGUGUAAGUAACUAUGCACGUCUUGACGGUACCUAAUCAGAAGGCCACGGCUAACUACGUG